AAUAAGCCAGAAGGCGAGGCAGGUUUGUGAGUUCAGGCAUGUUCAAUCACUGUGGCUUUUACUGACAUUCCAGAAGUCAGUGAUACUUGCUGAACACCACCAGGAUCCAUUCA